CCAAAAAAAAAAGUUUGUGAAUAAAAUUUGGUUUCUAAUGUCUUGUAUUUCAGUGGUUAUUGGUUAUAAGUUGUCAAAGUCAUGGUGUAAAAUUAAAAUGAUUAGCAAGUUUUCCUAACUCCAAGUCAUAAGCCUACUAUCCCAAAUGACAAAUUUGUACCUUGGCCUCACUACAACCUAAAAACAUAUGAAAAGUGUAUGUACAAUUUGCAUUGUGAACCUCUUUUGAACAUUUUCAAGCAUAUGAUAGUUUGGGCAUGUACCAGAAUCUAAGGGAUAAACACAAAACUUGGAAACACUUAGAGAUAAAUUUGGAUAUUUGUGUGCAGAGAAAAUUGAAUUUGAAAGUCAAUUAUAGUAAGAACAAACAUUCAGAAAGUUAUAGAGGGUUAGUGUUGGCACAAGGUGAUCUCAAAUGCACAAAAUUGCCUUUUGAAUGAAGCUGGAGCACAAUAGGAAGGGCUUGGAGCGCAUUUCGUCAGUCACUAUGUUGCAAUGCACAUCCUGACACAACUCAUUGUCAUCGAGUACAAUAGAGGAACAUCACAGUGCAUUGUGCAGCUUGCUACGCUAUAAUAAAUUUUGUUGUAACGCAUUGCAGUCAUACUCAGCGCAAUGCGCUGGUGCUCGUUCCAAGCCUAUUAUUUAAGUCAAAAAGCAGAAUUUGGUUAGGGUUCUGAUUUUUGGAUGCUGAUGAGGAGUCUGCUACACAUGAAAGAAGACCUAGUGCAACAUUUGUAUGUAAUUUUUUUCUCAAUAUUUUUGUUAUCAAACAAUAUGAGUAGUUAAUUUACUUAGUGAUUAGAGAUUAGAUGAACUUUCUUGAAUGUAUGUAGUUUAGGCUUUCCUAUGUUAAUUAUUCAAUUCAAACGUAUUUGAUUAUU